GCCAACGUGGUGUAGUGGUUUGAAUAUUGAACUAUGACUCUGGAGACCAGGGUUCAAUUCCCUACUAUUCCA